CCCAGACUCCUACGGGAGGCAGCAGUGGGGAAUAUUGCACAAUGGGGGAAACCCUGAUGCAGCGACGCCGCGUGAGCGAUGAAGUAUUUCGGUAUGUAAAGCUCUCUCAGCAGGGAAGAAAAUGACGGUACCUGACUAAGAAGCCCCGGCUAACUACGUGCCAGCAGCCGCGGUAAUACGUAGGGGGCAAGCGUUAUCCGGAUUCACUGGGUGUAAAGGGAGCGUAGACGGCGACGCAAGUCUGGAGUGAAAGCCCGGGGCCCAACCCCGGGACUGCUCUGGAAACUGCGUCGCUGGAGUACGGGAGGGGCAGGCGGAAUUCCUGGUGUAGCGGUGAAAUGCGUAGAUAUCAGGAGGAACACCGGCGGCGAAGGCGGCCUGCUGGACCGUGACUGACGUUGAGGCUCGAGAGCGUGGGGAGCAAACAGGAUUAGAUACCCUAGUAUAC
rnacentral:rRNA from 1 species